AGUAGAGUCAGCUAAUAUAAGCUUUUGGGCCCAUACCCCGAACACGUUGGUUAAAGUCCUUCCUCUACUA